AUCUGAUUAGAACCAUAUCUCUGGCCGGGAGUGGCCGCGCGGCUCCGAGGCUCCCGGGCCGGCGGCUAUUUAAGCGGGGCCCGCCGUGUGGGCUGCGCUGCAGCCUGGAGGCUCCGGGCGCGGGGAGUCAUGCUCGCUUCGCAGAGGCGCUAGCUAGCCUGUGUCUACAGUAGGUUAUGUUCAUUUGAGACUUCUCCAUUGGGGAUCGCCUGGUGUCACUAAGUGUCUGCUGGUGCUGGGGUUUGCUGCCUUCCAUCUUGUCAUGUCUAACGAAGUAGAAACAAGCACAACCAAUGGUCAGCCUGACCAACAGGCCACAUCAAAAGCACCAUCGAAGAAAGAAAAGAAGAAAGGCGCUGAAAAGACAGAUGAGUAUCUCUUGGCCAGGUUCAAAGGUGAUGGUGUAAAAUACAAGGCCAAGCUAAUUGGCAUUGAUGAUGUGCCAGAUGCAAGAGGGGAUAAAAUGAGCCAAGAUUCUAUGAUGAAACUAAAGGGAAUGGCAGCAGCUGGUCGGUCUCAGGGACAACACAAACAACGGAUCUGGGUCAACAUUUCUCUUUCUGGGAUAAAGAUAAUUGAUGAGAAAACUGGGGUAAUAGAGCAUGAACAUCCAGUAAAUAAGAUUUCUUUUAUUGCCCGUGAUGUGACAGACAACCGGGCCUUUGGUUACGUGUGUGGAGGAGAAGGCCAGCAUCAGUUUUUUGCCAUAAAAACAGGACAACAGGCCGAGCCAUUAGUUGUUGAUCUUAAAGACCUUUUUCAAGUUAUCUAUAAUGUAAAGAAAAAGGAAGAAGAAAAGAAAAAGAUGGAAGAAGCCAACAAAGCAGUAGAGAAUGGGAGUGAGUCCUUAUUGACUAUUGAUGACCAGUCCAGCAAACUGAAAUCGGGUGUUGACCAGAUGGAUUUGUUUGGAGACAUGUCUACACCUCCUGACCUAAAUAGUCCAACAGAAAGCAAAGAUAUCCUGUUAGUGGAUCUAAACUAUGAAAUCGACACCAAUCAGAAUUCUUUAAGAGAAAAUCCAUUCUUAACAAAUGGCAUCACCUCCUGCUCUCUUCCUCGACCAAAGCCUCAGGCAUCUUUCUUGCCUGAAACUGCCUUUUCUGCCAAUCUCAACUUCUUUCCCACCCCUAAUCCUGAUCCUUUCCGUGAUGAUCCUUUCGCACAGCCUGACCAAUCGACACCCUCUUCGUUUGAUUCUCUCAGAUCUUCAGAUCAGAAGAAAGAGAAUUCGAGUAGCUUGUCUACUCCACUGAGUAACGGGCCCCUGAAUGGUGAUGUUGAUUGCUUUGGCCAGCAGUUUGACCAAAUCUCUAACAGGACUGGCAAACAAGAAGCUCAGGCAGGCCCAUGGCCCUUUCCAAGUCCGCAAACCCAGCCAGCAGUGAGAACUCAAAACGGGGUAUCUGAAAGAGAACAGAACGGCUUCCAUGUCAAAUCCUCCCCGAACCCUUUUGUGGGAAGCCCUCCCAAAGGACUGUCCGUACCGAAUGGCGUUAAGCAGGACUUGGAAAGCUCUGUCCAGUCCUCACCACAUGACUCCAUAGCCAUUAUCCCACCUCCACAAAGUACCAAACCAGGAAGAGGCAGAAGGACAGCUAAGUCCUCAGCCAAUGACUUGCUUGCGUCAGACAUCUUUGCUCCUCCCAUCUCAGAACCUCCAGGCCAAACGUCACCCCCGGGACAAUCUGGAGCCCUACAGACCAACCCUCUGGAUCUCUUCAAAACAAGUGCUUCUGCCCCAGUGGGGCCCUUUGUGGGUCUAGGUGGUAUACCAGUUACACCCCCUCAGGCGGGACCAUGGAGCCCAGCACCUUUAGUCUUCAGUCAGUCCACUUCAGUAGUCCCAGGAGCCAUGAUGGGGGGUCAACCUGCAGGUUUUGGUCAGCCAGUCGUUUUUGGUACAACCCCAGCUGUUCCAGGUUGGAAUCAGCCUUCAUCCUUUGGAGCCUCAACUUCCCCUGCAGCCCCUGUCAUUUGGGGUCCUUCUGCAUCUGUGCCACCCAGUGCUUGGCCAUCACCAAGCCCUUUGGGGAAUCCUUUCCAGAGCAAUAUUUUUCCAACUCCUGCUUUGUCCACUCAGCCCACUUCUAUGCUCUCCUCUCUCCUGGUCACUUCUCAGCCACCUCCCCAAACUGGCCCUCCAAAGGACACCUCCAGUGAUGCUUUCACUGCCUUAGACCCACUUGCGGAUAAAGAAGUCAAGGAAGUGAAAGAAAUGUUUAAGGACUUCCAACUGCGGCAGCCACCUGCUGUGCCCGCAAGGAAGGGAGAGCAGACUUCUUUUGGGACUUCAAGUGCCUUCUCCAGUUACUUCAACAGCAAAGUUGGCAUUCCUCAGGAGAAUGCAGACCAUGAUGACUUUGAUGCUAAUCAACUGUUGAACAAGAUCAAUGAACCACCAAAGCCAGCUCCCAGACAAGGUGCCCUGCCAGUUACUAAAUCUGCUGACAAUGCAUUUGAGAACCCUUUCUCUAAAGAUUCUUUUAAUUCUUCACAGGCCACUGUGGCUUCUCCUUUUGGAAAUCCUUUUGCCUAACUUCUGCACAAGUUGUCAAGACCUUCUGAAGCCACCAAAAAAGUCAGCUAAACAGGUGGACACAAGUUCUAGGAGAACUUGGCAUGCUGACUAUCCAGAGGAACAAAAAGAUUGGCCUUAGUAGUCAAGGACAAAGCUCACAGCCAGACACGUCCUGACCUCUGCCCUUGUUCCAGCUUUAAUGUGUUAUCUGCUGCCUUAUUUCUUCUUGACACUUCCACUCGUAAAAUGCCUUUUGCUUUCUGUCUAGGUUGAAGCUUAUCUCUAUCUAUGGCUUGAAAUAAAUUAAAAUCCUAAACUCUCUAGCUUAAAUGUAAAUGAGGUAGUUUUCCUACUAAAUCCUUGCCUAUUGUGUCCCUAGAACCUUCUAGAACACUCUACCUUCUACCCUGUGGUUGGGAGAUACAGCCACCACAACCCCUCAUAUCAUACUGUUUUAAAUAAAUUUUCAAAUUCUUACUGUU